UUUUUCUUUUGCUUCUUUUUGUAGGAUGUCUACAACAGAAAUCAUUUUUGCAAAAAGGCUGCAAGGACACAUGGAGACACAGAGGAGCCUCAGCUGCAUUCAGGACCCAGCAGGUGCAGCUGUACAGAGACUGGUAGACUGACAGAGGGCGGGGUCAGCCUUCAGGUUUCCACCUUAACCACUUCAUCCCAGCCAGUGCCAAGUACGUCCAAGCUCCUGGCAACACCUGCCAGACAGAGCAGGAGGAAGAGCGAGUUGUCUUCCCUCCCAGAGACCAGGAGAGGCAGCCCAGGUGACAGUUCAAGGCAGCGACGGGGGAAAACACCUCCUGUCCUGGGAAGGAGAGUCUCCAGAGCUGUCUUCUUGGACUGAACUCGGGCCCUGCAAACUGGGCCAGUGUUAGCCGCCUGGUGGAGGCCGUUUGCAACCGGCUCUGCGUCUUCACCCGGUGGCCACGUGGUCCAGAGGGACCGUGAGGACUCGCUGGUCAUUCAGUCUCAAGGAUCAUGUGGCAUCAGAGAGGCAGUGCUGGCCGGCCCCAGGUUGAUGGCUCAGACCAACAUCCAGCUCUUUGAAUUAAAA